rnacentral:rRNA from 1 species
UCAAGAAUAUUCCCCAAUGGACGAAAGUCUGAGGGAGCGACGCCGCGUGUAGGAUGAAGGUCUUCGGAUUGUAAACUACUUUUCUCUGGGAAGAAUUUUGACCGUACCAGAGGAAUAAGAGGUUGCUAACUCUGUGCCAGCAGCAGCGGUAAUACAGAGACCUCAAGCGUUAUCCGGAUUUAUUGGGCGUAAAGGGUCCGCAGGUGGUUCUACAAGUCUUCGGUUAAAUCUUUGGGCUCAACCCAAAAACUGCCGAAGAAACUAUAGGACUUGAGACCGGGAGAGGCAAACGGAAUUGCCGGUGUAGUAGUAAAAUGCGUUAAUAUCGGCAAGAACACCAAAUGCGAAAGCAAUUUGCUAGAACGGUUCUGACACUCAGGGACGAAAGCGUGGGGAGCGAUACGG